ensembl:lncRNA
AGAAAGAGUGUGUAUGUUUGUGUGUGGACAUUUUGAGUCUGCUGGGAUAUGUGCUAUGACCUUAAGGAAAUGCAGUCAGGAUCGCAGGGAGCUUGGAGCCUACAUCCCAGAGGACUCCCAAGGUGGGGGACACCCUGGACCCAUCGCAGGGCACAUUCACACACAUUACGGAGAAUUUGGGAAUGCGAAUCAGCCUACAAGGCGUGUCUUUGGACUGGGGAGGAAACUGGAGUACCCGGAGGAAACCCCCAAAUCAUGUGAAGAACAUGCAAGCUCCAUACAGUCAAACCCCCAACUCCGGAGGUGCUAGGCAAAUGUGCUAACCACUAAUUCACCGUGCUGCCCAUCUACAGGAAACUUAAGCAUAGACGGCUAGAUUUACUGGAACAUUGGCUCAUUUCCACAAAAAUCGUCUACAG